rnacentral:misc_RNA from 1 species
GAUGAAGAACGUAGCGAAAUGCGAUAAGUAAUGUGAAUUGCAGAAUUCAGUGAAUCAUCGAAUCUUUGAACGCACAUUGCGCCCGCCAGUAUUCUGGCGGGCAUGCCUGUUCGAGCGUCAUUUCAACCAUCAAGCCCCCGGCUUGUGUUGGGGACCUGCGGCUGCCGCAGGCCCUGAAAAGCAGUGGCGGGCUCGCUGUCACACCGAGCGUAGUAGCAUACAUCUCGCUCUGGGCGUGCUGCGGGUUCCGGCCGUUAAACCACCUUCAUAACCCAAGGUUGACCUCGGAUCAGGUAGGAAGACCCGCUGAACUUAAGCAUAUCAUAAGCGGAGGA